rnacentral:rRNA from 1 species
GUGGGGAAUCUUGCGCAAUGGGCGAAAGCCUGACGCAGCCAUGCCGCGUGAAUGAUGAAGGUCUUAGGAUUGUAAAAUUCUUUCACCGGGGACGAUAAUGACGGUACCCGGAGAAGAAGCCCCGGCUAACUUCGUGCCAGCAGCCGCGGUAAUACGAAGGGGGCUAGCGUUGCUCGGAAUUACUGGGCGUAAAGGGCGCGUAGGCGGACAGUUAAGUUGGGGGUGAAAGCCCGGGGCUCAACCUCGGAACUGCCUUCAAUACUGGCUGUCUUGAGUAUGAGAGAGGUGUGUGGAACUCCGAGUGUAGAGGUGAAAUUCGUAGAUAUUCGGAAGAACACCAGUGGCGAAGGCGACACACUGGCUCAUUACUGACGCUGAGGCGCGAAAGCGUGGGGAGCAAACAGGAUUAGAAACCCGGGUAGUCC